rnacentral:rRNA from 1 species
CACGUAGGCACCAAGCGUUGUCCGGAAUUAUUGGGCGUAAAGGGCUCGUAGGCGGUCCAUCGCGUCGGGAGUGAAAAGCUGGGGCUUAACCCCAGUCCUGCUUCCGAUACGGGUGGACUAGAGGUAGGUAGGGGAGAACGGAAUUCCUGGUGUAGCGGUGAAAUGCGUAGAUAUCUGGAGGAACACCGGUGGCGAAGGCGGCGUCCUGGACCAACACUGACACUGAUGAGCGAAAGCCAGGGGAGCAAACGGG